CAAGGUCCAUGAGAGGAACCAGGAUCAUGCUCCAAUAAGAGCAACUAGCAAGGAUCUCUUUCACCAUUUUUCUCAGCAAUGGUGAUCAUCAACCCAUGCAAAGGUAUUGAGUUCUGAACUCAGAUUAGAAGUAGAUGUGAUCUACUACUCACAUGCAUGCAUGCUCAUUUUAUCUUCAGUAUUUUUUAGAUUUUAUAUAUAAUAUAUUAUGUUAUAGAUCUUAGAGUAUGUUAAUUUGAUAAUUAGAUCAUAUACAUAUUAGAUUAAUUUUAUUAAUCUAAUUAUCCUCCACUAUAAUUUAUUCAAAAAAGUUUCGAAAUACAUGUAUGAAAUUGCC
rnacentral:lncRNA from 1 species